rnacentral:rRNA from 1 species
AAACCAACAGGGAUUGCCUCAGUAGCGGCGAGUGAAGCGGCAAGAGCUCAGAUUUGAAAUCGUGCUUUGCGGCACGAGUUGUAAAUUGCAGGUUGGAGUCUUUGUGGAGGCGUGUGUCUAAGUCCCUUGGAACAGGGCGCCCAGGAGGGUGAGAGCCCCGUGGGAUGCCGGCGGAAGCAGUGAGGCCCUUCUGAC